AUUGAACGCUGGCGGCAUGCCUUACACAUGCAAGUCGAACGGUAACAGGUCUUCGGAUGCUGACGAGUGGCGAACGGGUGAGUAAUACAUCGGAACGUGCCCGAGAGUGGGGGAUAACGAAGCGAAAGCUUUGCUAAUACCGCAUACGAUCUCAGGAUGAAAGCAGGGGACCGCAAGGCCUUGCGCUCACGGAGCGGCCGAUGGCAGAUUAGGUAGUUGGUGGGAUAAAAGCUUACCAAGCCGACGAUCUGUAGCAGGUCUGAGAGGACGACCAGCCACACUGGGACUGAGACACGGCCCAGACUCCUACGGGAGGCAGCAGUGGGGAAUUUUGGACAAUGGGCGCAAGCCUGAUCCAGCCAUGCCGCGUGCAGGAUGAAGGCCUUCGGGUUGUAAAUUGCUUUUGUACGGAACGAAAAGACUCUGGUUAAUACCUGGGGUCCAUGACGGUACCGUAAGAAUAAGCACCGGCUAACUACGUGCCAGCCGCCGCCGUAAAAC
rnacentral:rRNA from 1 species